rnacentral:lncRNA from 1 species
CCUGCAGUGGCUGUCAAAAGAGCUAAGCAGCUUGAUAGUCCCAAGUGGAGUCAAGAAAGGGAACGUUUGUGGACACGAUAGGGCAAUUCACUGGAGGAACAAACACAUACAUCACAAAACCUACAGAGCUCCUUUUUGCAGAUUUCUCAUGCUAUAGAGAAGGGGCGUGAAAUUAAGCAAAUGUAUGCUGCUCUAACAAAUAUCAUAUGUUAAAAAGUCUGAGUUCAGGGUUCAUAAAUUUUUUUAAGGUUGGAAUUAAAAACUUCGAGACAAAUUGACUUUAGGAACCCCCAUCACUGGCCAUUCUGACGCUACUCUUUGUGCUGCAGGAUGGAUAAUGAGGAGUGGCAAAAGAAGCUGGAUACUGGUCAGCAGCCAUCUAUCCACAGAAGAGCCAGAUCUUAAAUCAAGAAUCUGUGAGCUGAACUCUUCAUCUCUCUCGAGAUCCUUACCCAUGUCAAGAUUUUCUCUGGAACCCGGGACAAUCACAAAGCAGAAUAAGGAGGCGGAAGUCUUGAGAGUUUGGGGCAGAUAAAUGCUGAACUUCAUUCACAUGUAUUUUAAAAUAUAAAUGAAAUAUAGUAAAAGUUGGCCUCCAAGGUCGCAGUAUCGUUAGGCAAAUACAAGAGGGAAAGAAAUCUCCCUAGAAGUUGAUAAGAUACCAAGAAGUAACAGGCAACUUCACAAGAGAACAGAACUCAAGAAAUUUGCUGAUAGUGCUAAAGUUGAGCCAGACAAAGAGAAAGGGCAAACCGCCAGUGCUGGAGAAAUCCCAGCCUAACUGAAGCGGAGCCGUGCACAGCUUGGGGUAGGCCACUGAUUUAUUUAUUCAUGGAGCCACACUAGGCCUCUAAUACUGUGGGUAUCAACUUAGUUCUUGGCACUUACUGAUCUGUUCAGCCCUCUGAGGGUCAGACAAGGCUACCGUGACUGUCCUCUCUGUUAAAGCAGCUUUGAGAAGGCACAGGCUGUGUUGGGAAACUCAGCUGGAAGCCUGGAGACACAAUUGCCAAAUGUUGGGGUUGGAUCUGAGCUGGGUUCAGGGCAAUGACUUAACUUCACACCGUCAACUGCAGCACUGCUGCCUCAAGACUCAAAGUGUAAGAGCACACAGUCAUGACGGCAUUCAGGAGAAAUUAAUGGUCGUCUUCCAGAUAAACUGAAUAUGCUUGCAGAGAAAACUUCAAGAUGCAAACACUUCCUAAGACACUGAAAAAUAAAUGAUGUGUCUGAUUUGGGGCA